rnacentral:rRNA from 1 species
CCCUUAGAUGUUCUGGGCCGCACGCGCGCUACACUGACGAAGUCAGCGAGCAUGUCCUACGCCGACAGGUGCGGGGAAUCUUGUCAAACUUCGUCGUGAUGGGGAUUGAUUAUUGAAAUUCUUGAUCAUCAACGAGGAAUUCCUAGUAAGCGCAAGUCAGCAGCUUGCGUUGAUUACGUCCCUGCCCUUUGUACACACCGCCCGUCGCUCCUACCGAUUGAAUGAUCCGAUGAAUACCAUGGAUUGAGAGUACGAAUAGGUUCGCUUAUUUCUGCUGCUCGAGAAGUGGAGUAAAUCUUAUCAUUUAGAGGAAGGAGAAGUCGUAACA